UAUGUACAGAGCAAGUUUUUGAAGAAGACUGUGUUUUAUUCAAGCAUGCUGCUAAGAUGAUGUGUCAAAGACAGGCAUUUCUGCCCACUGCUUUACCAUAUCCAGCAGCUGCAUAAAAAAGAUAAUAGCACCUCUUCCUACUUUCAGACGGUUUUCUUCUGCAGAGCUCUGAAAGACAUGAGUAAUCCACUGCAGUUCAGAGACUCAUGUAUGGCUGAUCCAGAUCCACCUUCUCAAAGGUGAUGGAAGUGAUAUUUGUUUCCAUCAUGUCCCCAUGAAUCUCUUCCCAUCACCAUGAACUUGCCAAGAUCUUUAUGACCUCAGAGUGACAUCCAUGAGCUCCCUCAUCAUUCAGGAUUCCCAGGCCAGCAGAGCUGAUGAAUGAAUUUACAUUUUCCUCCAACUAGUGCUCUCUUGAGCUCUUUGUUCAACCUGUUGACUGCUCAAUAUCACAGCCUACCCUUGCUGCAGUUUGGGUGGUGAAGGUUCCUUAGAUAUGGCAGAAUGUAGCCUUGGAAAAUCCAUUUACAUGGGGAAGAAGUGAGGAAGCAUGUCCAGUGGUGAUCCAUGGAUGAGUGGAGCUUCCUCUGCCUGCAUGGUCUUUAGGUGUGAUGUUAGCAGCCAGUGUACACAGUUGCCUAAAUUCACUCAGCAUCACUGGAGGUGUGGGGACUUCACAUGUAAGGGGCUUUAGAUGGAUUUACUGCUGUUGGUACAAC